rnacentral:rRNA from 1 species
UACCAGCACCCCGAGUGGUCGGGACGUUUUAUUGGGCCUAAAGCAUCCGUAGCCGGUUCUACAAGUCUUCCGUUAAAUCCAACUGCUUAACAGGUGGGCUGCGGAAGAUACUAUAGAGCUAGGAGGCGGGAGAGGCAAGCGGUACUCGAUGGGUAGGGGUAAAAUCCGUUGAUCCAUUGAAGACCACCAGUGGCGAAGGCGGCUCACUGGCCCGGUACUGACGCUGAGGUGCGAAAGCGUGGGGAGCAAACAGG